CCCCUCUUGGGUUGAAAAGCCCAGCAGGGCCUGGGUCAGGACACCUGUGUCACCAUGGACAGGCUUUGUUCCCUUCUUCUGCUGCUGACCGUCCCUGAUUGGGUCGUGUCCCAAAUCACCCUGAAGGAGUCUGGCCCCGGACUGGUGACCCCCACCCAGACCCUCAGGCUGACCUGCUCCUUCUCUGGCUUCUCACUGAGCACGACUUAUACAGGUGUAGGCUGGAUCCGUCAGCCCCCAGGAAAAGGCCUGGAGUGGCUGGCACACAUUUGGUGGGAUGAUGAUAAAUACUACAGCCCUGCCCUGAAGAGCCUGCUCUCCAUCUCCAAGGACACCUCCAAGAACCAAGUGAUCCUCACAACGACCAGUGCGGUCCCUGCAGACACAGCCACAUAUUACUGUGCAAGAAGAGCACAGAGACUCAGCCUCAGGAUCCUCCUGUACAAGAUCUCAGCUCAGUUCCCUCCCCAUCUGCAGAUCAGGAUGUGUGGAGAGUGCGCCCUUCCUGUCAGCCUCUGGGGAAUUCUCUCCUCCCUAGAGCUUGAGGCCCCAUCUUCCUGUUACAUUUUACACUCUAUAUAA